rnacentral:tRNA from 1 species
UCCGUGGCGCAAUCGGCUAGCGCGUUUGGCCGUUGCCCGAAAGUUUGGUGGUUCGAGCCCACCCUCGGCGAAA